GAAUGUACAAAAACGAAAGCAAAAUGGCUUACCUGUUCUCUGGAGACGGUGGGGAUGGUGGCAGCGCGUUGCCCUUCGUCUGCUCACAGCCUUCCCUCCUGCUUUCCUUUGCUUCGGUGCCCGCUGUUCCUUUUCUCUUUUUGUUUUUCCCUGCUUUCUCAGUCCUUGUGAUGAAGCACUGAGGACGGUGCUGGCUUCUCCUUUCAAAAUUGGGUCUGGGUUUUGUGUUGUGUUUGUGCUGAUGUUCGUUUAUUUCUCAUUCACUAUACCCUCUCUCUCUGGUUUUUUCUGCUCGCCCCGCUCUGUUUUUUUUUUCUGUUUUCUUCCUUUUGUUCUCUGUUUCUUUUUUCUCUCCGUCCCCCCUGGUUUUGUUUUUGUCUUCCCCCCGGUUCUGUGACCCCCCUUUUUUUCUCCUUUCUUUCUUGUUUCUGAUUUGCAGGGGGCGAUCAAGAAGAUGGUGAUGUCAAUCGUUGGUUUUCUGGGUUUCGGUUUUUCUGCUCCUCGGUGUUUUUCGUUCCUUUUUUUUCCUCCUUCCGCGAGGUCGCCUUUGCCCAGCUUUUAUAAAGCCAGCGGCGGCCUCGGUGGUGGUAACGGUCGGCCUCCUAAAUGCUCUGUAACCGACGCCUUCAAUGAAGAAACGUACGCGUUGGCUGCCAACGGACGAAACGUCUCUGCCUUUAAUGGCAGAGCCGUUGCAGAGGAAGAAGACGGUGAACAGUAGCUGCAAAACGACUCCGUUUUCUAGUUCUAAAGGCUGCUUUCAAUUUGGUCCUUGUAAUUCUUAUAAUUUUGCAAUCAAGCCCCUAGUUAAAAUGUAAUUGGAUCCUUGCAUUUCCGGGCCAUUUUCAAGCUGGUCCUUGGAUUUUAAUUUUUGCAUUUUGGACCCCAAUUAAACCCCAAACUUUGAUAUUUCUUCAAUUAAAUCCCUG
rnacentral:lncRNA from 1 species